UUCUAUUUGAUGAAAUCCCUUUGCC
rnacentral:piRNA from 2 species